UUAGGAGCCUCGUAUUUAGGAGCUUCGUACUUUGGGGCUACGUACUUAGGAGUCUCGUACUUGGGAGUCUCGUAUUUAGGAGAUUCGUACUUAGGUGCCUCGUACUUGGGAGAAUCAUACAUGGGGGCUUUGUACUCAGCAGCCUUGUAAGAAUCGGCAGCAGCAAAGGCGAAAAGGG